GCUCUUCUAUCUUCUACUUAU
rnacentral:miRNA from 1 species